rnacentral:rRNA from 1 species
UACGGGGGGGGCAAGCGUUGUUCGGAAUUACUGGGCGUAAAGGGCUCGUAGGCGGCCAACUAAGUCAGACGUGAAAUCCCUCGGCUUAACCGGGGAACUGCGUCUGAUACUGGAUGGCUUGAGGUUGGGAGAGGGAUGCGGAAUUCCAGGUGUAGCGGUGAAAUGCGUAGAUAUCUGGAGGAACACCGGUGGUGUAGACGGCUUUCUGGACCGUAACUGACGCUGAGACACGAAAGCGUGGGUAGCAAACAGG